GACGAACGCUGGCGGCGCGCUUAACACAUGCAAGUCGAACGGAAAGGCCUGCUUUCCCUUGUGGAUUGCGGGUACUCGAGUGGCGAACGGGUGAGUAACACGUGAGUGAUCUGCCCCCAACUUGGGUAUAAGCCUGGGAAACUGGGUCUAAUUCCCGAUAGGACUGCAGGGUGGUGCCUGUGGUGGAAAACGAUUUUCUAGUGGUUGGGGAUGAGCUCGCGGCCUAUCAGCUUGUUGGUGGGGUAAUGGCCUACCAAGGCGGCGACGGGUAGCCGGCCUGAGAGGGUGGACGGCCAGAUUGGGACUGAGAUACGGCCCAGACUCCUACGGGAGGAAGCAGUGGGGAAUAUUGCACAAUGGGCGGAAGCCUGAUGCAGCGACGCCGCGUGGGGGAUGACGGCCUUCGGGUUGUAAACUCCUUGCGACCGCGAGGAAGCCACCUGGUUGGAAGGGUGGUGACGGUAGUGGUAGAAGAAGCACCGGCUAACUACGUG
rnacentral:rRNA from 1 species